GGGGUUGUGAGGUGUGGUUUUGUAGAAGGAUUUAGGGCUAGCUGGUUGGUUGAAGGGUGUGAUGGCUUCAAACGGGUUUAAAGUGGAGUUUGAGAAGUCUGAUGGCAAAGAGAACUUCAUCUUGUGACAGUAGCAGGUGAAGAAUUUAUUGGUACAGUAAUGUAUCUAUAAGGUCUUGGUACAAGAAAGACUGAAAAAGAUCUCUACGGAGGAUUGGGAGGAGCUGGAGGAUAUUGUUUUCAGCACAAGUAGGAUGUACUUGGCAGAUCAAGUGUUAUAGGAGGUCAGCACG
rnacentral:lncRNA from 1 species